rnacentral:rRNA from 1 species
UUGAAGAGUUUGAUCAUGGCUCAGAUUGAACGCUGGCGGCAGGCCUAACACAUGCAAGUCGAGCGGUAGCACAGAGAGCUUGCUCUCGGGUGACGAGCGGCGGACGGGUGAGUAAUGUCUGGGAAACUGCCUGAUGGAGGGGGAUAACUACUGGAAACGGUAGCUAAUACCGCAUAAUGUCGCAAGACCAAAGUGGGGGACCUUCGGGCCUCAUGCCAUCAGAUGUGCCCAGAUGGGAUUAGCUAGUAGGUGGGGUAACGGCUCACCUAGGCGACGAUCCCUAGCUGGUCUGAGAGGAUGACCAGCCACACUGGAACUGAGACACGGUCCAGACUCCUACGGGAGGCAGCAGUGGGGAAUAUUGCACAAUGGGCGCAAGCCUGAUGCAGCCAUGCCGCGUGUGUGAAGAAGGCCUUCGGGUUGUAAAGCACUUUCAGCGGGGAGGAAGGCGAUAAGGUUAAUAACCUUGUCGAUUGACGUUACCCGCAGAAGAAGCACCGGCUAACUCCGUGCCAGCAGCCGCGGUAAUACGGAGGGUGCAAGCGUUAAUCGGAAUUACUGGGCGUAAAGCGCACGCAGGCGGUCUGUCAAGUCGGAUGUGAAAUCCCCGGGCUUAACCUGGGAACUGCAUUCGAAACUGGCAGGCUAGAGUCUUGUAGAGGGGGGGUAGAAUUCCAGGUGUAGCGGUGAAAUGCGUAGAGAUCUGGAGGAAUACCGGUGGCGAAGGCGGCCCCCUGGACAAAGACUGACGCUCAGGUGCGAAAGCGUGGGGAGCAAACAGGAUUAGAUACCCUGGUAGUCCACGCCGUAAACGAUGUCGAUUUGGAGGUUGUGCCCUUGAGGCGUGGCUUCCGGAGCUAACGCGUUAAAUCGACCGCCUGGGGAGUACGGCCGCAAGGUUAAAACUCAAAUGAAUUGACGGGGGCCCGCACAAGCGGUGGAGCAUGUGGUUUAAUUCGAUGCAACGCGAAGAACCUUACCUGGUCUUGACAUCCACAGAACUUUCCAGAGAUGGAUUGGUGCCUUCGGGAACUGUGAGACAGGUGCUGCAUGGCUGUCGUCAGCUCGUGUUGUGAAAUGUUGGGUUAAGUCCCGCAACGAGCGCAACCCUUAUCCUUUGUUGCCAGCGGUUAGGCCGGGAACUCAAAGGAGACUGCCAGUGAUAAACUGGAGGAAGGUGGGGAUGACGUCAAGUCAUCAUGGCCCUUACGACCAGGGCUACACACGUGCUACAAUGGCAUAUACAAAGAGAAGCGACCUCGCGAGAGCAAGCGGACCUCAUAAAGUAUGUCGUAGUCCGGAUUGGAGUCUGCAACUCGACUCCAUGAAGUCGGAAUCGCUAGUAAUCGUAGAUCAGAAUGCUACGGUGAAUACGUUCCCGGGCCUUGUACACACCGCCCGUCACACCAUGGGAGUGGGUUGCAAAAGAAGUAGGUAGCUUAACCUUCGGGAGGGCGCUUACCACUUUGUGAUUCAUGACUGGGGUGAAGUCGUAACAAGGUAACCGUAGGGGAACCUGCGGUUGGAUCACCUCCUU